GAAGCUCAAACUGGCCGGACAAGCUCAAGGACAAGAGAGGUGGUCUCUAUUACACACACACAUGGGAUGUAGGAUCAUUACGUAUUUUGUUUACACAGAGAGGUAUUUUAUACAGGGUCUUGAAGGUAUGCCUGUCAUGGACUGGUGACCUGUCCAGGGUGUGUCCUGCCUUUCGCCCAAUGACAGCUGGGAUAUGCUCCAGCACCCCCCGCGACCCAGAAGGAGAAGUGGCUUAGAAGAUGUGUGUGUGUCUUGAAGACUUCAGGCGGGCUCCAGGUGGCACCGUGCCCUUUUUUAGCAUACCGUGACUGGGAGACCAGAAGGGAGAAGGAGAGGGUAGGAGAGAAAGGGAGGAGCGAUGCCUCGUAAAAAUAAAAAAAAAAGAGAAAAAUGAAGGUUCACAAGAGGACACGAUCCUUACUUCACCCCACUGUAUGACUUCACGAAACAAACAGUUGCUGAGGAAAACAGACGAGUAGACAGAGCUUCCAUCCACAGCCUGCGGUCUUCUUCUGAUAGGGCCUGCAUGGUUAUCAUCACACCAGGCCUGCAACACAAACAGAGACAGAGCUGUGCCAUAUUGAUGUGCACAGUAAUUCAACACAUUGAGAGGAAUCUAAACAGAACUGCAUGGAGACCUAAAUAUCAGAGGGUUGACUCCGUUCCAGGCCGGUGAAGAUGUCAAAAUGAUGUAACGUCUCAUAAUGUCAUCCCUCUUUCAAAUAUCAAACACACACACACACACACACACACACAUAUACCACCAUAACCACACACACAUACUCAAAUACAUAUUGCCACCCACAUUACAGCUGUAAUAAGACAUGAUCUGAACCCAAAACACUAGAAUUAUUGGCACCCACCAUAAAAAUGCGCUAAAAUGAGCAUAUUAAACAAACCACAUAUGAAAUGAGUGAUAUUUUGGGCUUAAACAAAUGAGUAAGUGACACAUUUUAUCUUUACACUGUCUUUUGGAACAAAAAAACACAUUCUUUUGUAAAAACGCAUGUUUCAAAAAUAUUGCCAUGCCUAAUAUUAGUAUUUGGUGAAGGCUUCCCUGGUGCACAUAACAGUACUGGGCUGCUUUGUGUAAUGCUUAACAAGCUUGGAAAGCACUUGUUGAGGGAUCUCGGACCACUCCUCUAUGCACAACAGUUCCAGUUCCUUGAUAUUACUGGGUCUUUGCUCUUUGGCAAGUUUGUUGAAGGGUUCUAAAACAUACUUAUAUUAAUUCGGUGCGAAUUAACCCAAGUGCAAGAAAUUUCUGACCUGAACCGUGGAAUAAAACCUGACAGGACGGCAUCGGUUACCAUGUAGUGAAAAUAAUAGCAGUCAGCGGACAACAAACGAUAAAAUAUAAAACAAUACAAAAUAAUAUGUUGAGAUGUGUUGACCUCUCACCUUUAAUGCUCUAUAGCUUUAUUGUAAGUGGGCAAUUGGACAAUAUUUAAUCGUUAUUGUGAUAAACGCUAGCAGGAUAAA